rnacentral:rRNA from 1 species
UGUGAACUCGAAGAGUAGGGCGGGACACGUGGUAUCCUGUCUGAAUAUGGGGGGACCAUCCUCCAAGGCUAAAUACUCCUGACUGACCGAUAGUGAACCAGUACCGUGAGGGAAAGGCGAAAAGAACCCCGGCGAGGGGAGUGAAAAAGAACCUGAAACCGUGUACGUACAAGCAGUGGGAGCACCUUCGGGUGUGACUGCGUACCUUUUGUAUAAUGGGUCAGCGACUUAUAUUCUGUAGCAAGGUUAACCGUAUAGGGGAGCCGCAGGGAAACCGAGUCUUAACUGGGCGUUAAGUUGCAGGGUAUAGACCCGAAACCCGGUGAUCUAGCCAUGGGCAGGUUGAAGGUUGGGUAACACUAACUGGAGGACCGAACCGACUAAUGUUGAAAAAUUAGCGGAUGACUUGUGGCUGGGGGUGAAAGGCCAAUCAAACCGGGAGAUAGCUGGUUCUCCCCGAAAGCUAUUUAGGUAGCGCCUCGUGAAUUCAUCUUCGGGGGUAGAGCACUGUUUCGGCUAGGGGGUCAUCCCGACUUACCAACCCGAUGCAAACUACGAAUACCGAAGAAUGUUAUCACGGGAGACACACGGCGGGUGCUAACGUCCGUCGUGAAGAGGGAAACAACCCAGACCGCCAGCUAAGGUCCCAAAGUCAUGGUUAAGUGGGAAACGAUGUGGGAAGGCACAGACAGCCAGGAUGUUGGCUUAGAAGCAGCCAUCAUUUAAAGAAAGCGUAAUAGCUCACUGGUCGAGUCGGCCUGCGCGGAAGAUGUAACGGGGCUAAACCAUGCACCGAAGCUGCGGCAGCGACACUAUGUGUUGUUGGGUAGGGGAGCGUUCUGUAAGCCUGCGAAGGUGUGCUGUGAGGCAUGCUGGAGGUAUCAGAAGUGCGAAUGCUGACAUAAGUAACGAUAAAGCGGGUGAAAAGCCCGCUCGCCGGAAGACCAAGGGUUCCUGUCCAACGUUAAUCGGGGCAGGGUGAGUCGACCCCUAAGGCGAGGCCGAAAGGCGUAGUCGAUGGGAAACAGGUUAAUAUUCCUGUACUUGGUGUUACUGCGAAGGGGGGACGGAGAAGGCUAUGUUAGCCGGGCGACGGUUGUCCCGGUUUAAGCAUGUAGGCUGGUUGUCCAGGCAAAUCCGGAUAAUCAAGGCUGAGGUGUGAUGACGAGGCACUACGGUGCUGAAGUAACAAAUGCCCUGCUU